rnacentral:rRNA from 1 species
UACGAAGGGGGCUAGCGUUGUUCGGAUUUACUGGGCGUAAAGCGCACGUAGGCGGAUCGUUAAGUCGGGGGUGAAAGCCUGUGGCUCAACCACAGAAUUGCCUUCGAUACUGUCGAGCUUGAGACCGGAAGAGGUAAGUGGAACUGCGAGUGUAGAGGUGAAAUUCGUAGAUAUUCGCAAGAACACCAGUGGCGAAGGCGGCUUACUGGUCCGGUUCUGACGCUGAGGCGCGAAAGCGUGGGGAGCAAACAGG